rnacentral:rRNA from 1 species
GAUAAACGCUGGCGGCGCACAUAAGACAUGCAAGUCGAACGGACUUAACUCAUUCUUUUAGAUUGAGAGCGGUUAGUGGCGGACUGGUGAGUAACACGUAAGCAACCUGCCUAUUAGAGGGGAAUAACAGUGAGAAAUCAUUGCUAAUACCGCAUAUGCUAACAGUAUCGCAUGAUACAGUUAGGAAAGGAGCAAUCCGCUAAUAGAUGGGCUUGCGUCUGAUUAGCUAGUUGGUGGGGUAACGGCCUACCAAGGCGACGAUCAGUAGCCGACCUGAGAGGGUGAUCGGCCACAUUGGAACUGAGAGACGGUCCAA